AGCUCCAAUAGCGUAUAUUAAAGUUGCUGCAGUUAAAAAGCUCGUAGUUGGAUUUCUGACGAAACUGCUAGCUGGCCCGUCACGUCAGUGAUGUGUGCCGGCUUGGCGUUUGUCAUCCGUUCGAAUGAUAUGCGCGCUGCCCUUCACUGGGUUGGUGCUGCAUGUUUUCGAUCUUUUACUUUGAAAAAAUUAGAGUGUUUCAAGCAGGCAUGUUUGCUAUGAAUACAUUAGCAUGGAAUAAUAACCUAGGACUUUCGGUUCUAUUUUGUUGGUGUUCUGGAGCUGAAGUAAUGAUUGAUAGGGAUAGUUGGGGGUGCUAGUAUUCAAUGGCCAGAGGUGAAAUUCUCGGAUUCCUUGAAGACUAACUUAUGCGAAAGCAUUCACCAAGGAUGUCUUCU
rnacentral:rRNA from 1 species